GCGGAAAUAGCUCAGUUGGUAGAGCACAACCUUGCCAAGAUUGGGGUCGCGGGUCCGAGUCCCGUUUUCCGCU
rnacentral:tRNA from 1 species